GAGAUGUGUUGGAAAACACCCCCCGCAUCCAUCGCUUUACUGCCCACCUCUUCUGUGCCGGUUGCAGGAGCUCCGAUGACCGUCCUGCCAAAAUCCCACACUUUACCUCCUAGUGGGUCAGCUGGAGGCUGGUGUGUUCCCCGGGUGGAUGCACCCGCCUUUCUCUUUAACCAGGCAAGGAUGCAUGUCGGCGACCAGGGCGCUAGGUGGUUCUACAAUAUGAUGACCUCCUUUAUUCUUGGGCCUCAAUAACGGGACCACGAGUAGCCCAGCAGAUCCCCGGACCUCCCAAAAUUUCAGCAUCCCUCCCGUCUCCUUCCUCAGACCUCCCACGGCAGCAGUGUCGGCUGGGCGGCGCGGCUGGUCCAUGCCUACCGUCCUGACUGUCUGUAGCUCCCCACGUGCCCCCUUUUCUGCAACCUUUCGACCUCUCCAGGCCUGCGGUCUCUUGCCAUCGUCUCAGUCCCCUGCUGAAUGGCCGGCUCCUGUCCCGGGGCCAUUAUUUCCGGGAAGGACAAAGGGAUGCUACCUCCCACCGAGUUUCUUCAGUGAAGAAACUCCUGGUGCCUUCCUCGCCGCUGUCUUUGUGCUAAAAUGGAAACCUCCCUCCCCAUCAGCCGAACCGGCCACACCGGCAGCCCAGCUGAGUCGGGAUCGGUGCCCUUGGCUCCGGGUGGGAAUCGCGUCUCUGCUGUUUUACCUGUUCAGCCUCCGGCUUCGAGUGCCACCUGCCUCGAGGUGCCGUGUCCCGGACCGGUGCCGCCGAACCGGUCGCCGUGACACCCCGCCAGGAACUCCCGGAGCGUCUCCGCGGUUACCGGCUGUUCUGGGCUCUGGAAGUUUCCAUGCACAUCAUCCUUCCGGAGGCAAUCGCCGCCGGCUUCCUCCCUUGUCAUUUCUUCCUCUUUCUAACUAUUAGUCACUCCUCUGGAGCUGCGCAAGCCCUUCCUCCGUCCUUCCCUCCAGCCGCAGCCGAGACCCAAAGGAGGCUUGCCACUGCUUUGCUUCAACCGCUUCCCCCCUGGCUGCUUCCUCUUUGGAUCCGUGGGUUAGAAGGGUUCAUCCCGUCCAACUCCCCGCACAAAUGCAGGAUGCGCUAUUUCUACCCCAUUGCACGCAGAGCAAUGUCCAGCUCGACAACCUCCACUGAAGGAGAUUGCAACUUCCCUGCUGGCCUGCUGUACUGACGAAAAACAGGGCUGACUCCUUUGUGUAAGAGGAGCAGCAUCCAAAGAGGCAGCUACGAUAUGCUUCUCUGCAGGAGCUUCCAGCAUGAUCCCCCAGGUCCCAAGUGAGCUCGACUGUCUCUUCCUCCCUGUGCCAGCAAGGCCACGAGGAGGCAGUCAAACCCUACGGCAGACCUAAGACAUCAGGUUCCCUGCUGACAUCAGAGAAGAGUUUGCAGUCUGUAUUUACUUUUUUAAAUGCACAG